rnacentral:misc_RNA from 1 species
GUGAAUCAUCGAAUCUUUGAACGCAAAUUGCACUCUCCUCGGAGAGGAGGCCUGUUUGAGGGUCAGCCUAGAAAAAAUAGACAUCGUUGCUGUUUCGCGGUGACGGUCGGCGGAAAUUGGGGCAUCUUAAAUCCUUUUGGUUGUAAGCGACUUAAAAUGUGCUUUUUGGUUCCAUGAACGGGUCUAAGAUUUAUGUAUUUACACGUAAAAGGGAAUCGAUAUGUAUGAGA